rnacentral:rRNA from 1 species
CGGGGCUCACCCGCUGAUUUAACA